UUGACCUCAAAUCGGGAGACUCCGCUGAAGCUAAGGGGGAA
rnacentral:rRNA from 1 species